GGCACAGCGUUUGCUUGAGUGGAACCGGGGCGGCCAACGGCGGUCGCCCGACGCAACACGCCGC
rnacentral:ncRNA from 1 species